rnacentral:tRNA from 1 species
UCCAGCGUAGCACAAUGGUGGUGCAAUCGGCUGUUAACCGGGAGGGUGCUGGUUCGACCCCAGCCGCUGGAGCCA